AGACGCGCACCCACAUGCUUUCUUUCUCUUUGCGUUGAACAAGAUGGGACACUCAAACGUGUGGUUCAGUCAUUCUCGUACUUACGGCGCUGGCUCGCGAUCCUGCCGUGUGUGCUUCAACCACCAUGGUCUUAUUCGCAAAUAUGGUUUAAAUAUCUGCCGUAGAUGUUUCAGGCAGUAUGCCAAAGAUAUUGGCUUC